rfam:Schistosoma mattheei strain Denwood, Zambia genome assembly, scaffold: SMTD_contig0002710
AUCCAGCUAACGAGUCCCAAAUAGGACGAAACGCGCGUCAUGGAU